GUGGGUUACAGAAAGUAAAUGUGGUUAGUUAGCACAGUAGUCAUUUUACGUACAAUGUCCAAUAUUUUUUGCUAUGUCAUCAGGGUUUUUCUAGUUUUUCCAAGCAAUAUCAACUAUAUACAAUGGCAGUACUUUCGAGGAGUAGGCUGUGUGGACUGGUCUCAAUAAACGCUUACUUAAGAACAGUUAUUACAUAAUUAUAGAUGAUGAAGGUAUAUUUUCUUUACAUAGUGAUUACAUCAGUUUUUCUUGAGAGCUUGUACCAGCUUAUG